AGCUAGUUGAUGAGUCCCAAACAGGACGAAAUGUGCAUACUGGGU
rnacentral:hammerhead_ribozyme from 1 species